GUCUAUAGCCAUGCCACCUUGAACACGUCCGAUCUCAUCCGAUCUCAGAAGCUAAGCAGGGUCAUGCCUGGUUAGUAUUUAGAUGGGAGACCACCUAGGAAGACCAGGUGCUGAGGCG
rnacentral:rRNA from 1 species